rnacentral:rRNA from 1 species
UACGUAGGGGGCAAGCGUUGUCCGGAAUCAUUGGGCGUAAAGAGCGUGUAGGCGGCCAGAUAAGUCCGCUGUGAAAACUCGAGGCUCAACUUCGAGCUGUCGGCGGAAACCAUCUGGCUAGAGUCCGGAAGAGGAGAGUGGAAUUCCUGGUGUAGCGGUGAAAUGCGCAGAUAUCAGGAAGAACACCCGUGGCGAAGGCGGCUCUCUGGGACGGUACUGACGCUGAGACGCGAAAGCGUGGGGAGCGAACAGG